rnacentral:rRNA from 1 species
UUAUACGACCGUACCGCAAACCGACACUGGUGCGCGAGAUGAGUAUUCUAAGGCGCUUGAGAGAACUCAGGAGAAGGAACUCGGCAAAUUGACACCGUAACUUCGGAAGAAGGUGUGCCCUAUUAGUGUGUAGUGAACAACGAAGCAUGAAUGGGUUGCAAAAAAUCGGUGGCUGCGACUGUUUAUUAAAAACACAGCACUCUGCAAACACGAAAGUGGACGUAUAGGGUGUGACGCCUGCCCGGUGCUGGAAGAUUAAAUGAUGGGGUGCAAGCUCUUGAUUGAAGUCCCAGUAAACGGCGGCCGUAACAAUAACGGUCCUAAGGUAGCGAAAUUCCUUGUCGGGUAAGUUCCGACCUGCACGAAUGGCGUAACGAUGGCCACACUGUCUCCUCCUGAGACUCAGCGAAGUUGAAAUGUUUGUGAUGAUGCAAUCUCCCCGCGGAAAGACGGAAAGACCCCAUGAACCUUUACUGUAGCUUUGUAUUGGACUUUGAACAGAUCUGUGUAGGAUAGGUGGGAGGCUUUGGAGCAGGGUCGCUAGAUCUUGUGGAGCCAACGUUGAAAUACCACCCUGGUGUGUUUGAGGUUCUAACCUAGGUCCAUUAUCUGGAUCGGGGACAGUGCUUGGUAGGCAGUUUGACUGGGGCGGUCUCCUCCCAAAGCGUAACGGAGGAGUUCGAAGGUACGCUAGUUACGGUCGGACAUCGUGACGAUAGUGCAAUGGCAUAAGCGUGCUUAACUGCGAGACUGACAAGUCGAGCAGAUGCGAAAGCAGGACAUAGUGAUCCGGUGGUUCUGUAUGGAAGGGCCAUCGCUCAACGGAUAAAAGGUACUCUGGGGAUAACAGGCUGAUACCGCCCAAGAGUUCAUAUCGACGGCGGUGUUUGGCACCUCGAUGUCGGCUCAUCUCAUCCUGGGGCUGUAGCCGGUCCCAAGGGUAUGGCUGUUCGCCAUUUAAAGAGGUACGUGAGCUGGGUUUAAAACGUCGUGAGACAGUUUGGUCCCUAUCUUCCGUGGGCGCUGCAGAUUUGAGGAAGCCUGCUCCUAGUACGAGAGGACCGGAGUGGACACACCUCUGGUGUAUCGGUUGUCACGCCAGUGGCAUUGCCGAGUAGCUAAGUGUGGAAGAGAUAACCGCUGAAAGCAUCUAAGCGGGAAACUCGUUUCAAGAUGAGAUCUGCCGGGGCCUUGAGCCCCCUAAAGAGUCGUUCAAGACCAGGACGUUGAUAGGUCAGGUGUGGAAGC